rnacentral:rRNA from 1 species
CCUACGGGUGGCAGCAGUGAGGAAUAUUGGUCAAUGGACGAGAGUCUGAACCAGCCAAGUAGCGUGAAGGAUGACUGCCCUAUGGGUUGUAAACUUCUUUUAUAUGGGAAUAAAAUGUUCCACGUGUGGGAUUUUGUAUGUAUCAUAUGAAUAAGGAUCGGCUAACUCCGUGCCAGCAGCCGCGGUAAUACGGAGGAUCCGAGCGUUAUCCGGAUUUAUUGGGUUUAAAGGGAGCGUAGGUGGAGUGUUAAGUCAGUUGUGAAAGUUUGCGGCUCAACCGUGAAAUUGCAGUUGAAACUGGCAGUCUUGAGUACAGGAGAGGUGGGCGGAAUUCGUGGUGUAGCGGUGAAAUGCUUAGAUAUCACGAAGAACUCCGAUUGCGAAGGCAGUUCACUGGACUGCAACUGACACUGAGGCUCGAAAGUGUGGGUAUCAAACAGGAUUAGAUACCCUGGUAGUC